AUUGAUCGCUGGCGGCAUGCUUUACACAUGCAAGUCGAACGGUAACAGGGAGCUUGCUCCGCUGACGAGUGGCGAACGGGUGAGUAAUAUAUCGGAACGUACCCAAGAGUGGGGGAUAACGUAGCGAAAGUUACGCUAAUACCGCAUACGAUCUAUGGAUGAGAGCAGGGGACCUUCGGGCCUUGUGCUCCUGGAGCGGCCGAUAUCUGAUUAGCUAGUUGGUGAGGUAAAGGCUCACCAAGGCGACGAUCAGUAGCUGGUCUGAGAGGACGACCAGCCACACUGGAACUGAGACACGGUCCAGACUCCUACGGGAGGCAGCAGUGGGGAAUUUUGGACAAUGGGCGCAAGCCUGAUCCAGCAAUGCCGCGUGAGUGAAGAAGGCCUUCGGGUUGUAAAGCUCUUUUGUCAGGGAAGAAACGGCUGUGGCUAAUAUCCACGGCUAAUGACGGUACCUGAAGAAUAAGCACCGGCUAACUACGUGCCAGCAGCCGCCGUAA
rnacentral:rRNA from 1 species